UUAUAUGGUUGUAACAAUAAAUUCUGCUAGGCCAAAGUCCAAGAGAAACCGAGGACGCAGAGGACGCAGGUAAGCAGUUGCAAAGUUGUAAUGCUUCCCCACUGUGUAUGGUUUAGGAUUUGAUGUUUCUGCCAUGCAUCAUGCAUGAAAGUUUAGUAGAAAUAUGGACUAUUAGAAUAAAUAGAAAUGCUUGGAAACCAUUUAAAUGGUUUAGUUAUUAAGGACUUAAAGCUGUAAUUGAGUGAAUUGCUUAAGCAAGCCUAGAAGCCUCUCUAUAUUUGCUAUAUGCUGAAACUUUUCUUUCGAUGCUUUUAUCAAUGUAAGUGACAGGUGUAGGCAUCCUAACUGUUUUGCUUAGAAAAAAUAUUUGGAUGCUUUAUUCUUAUCAUCAUUUCAAAUACUUUAUGUGCAAUGAUAUGGAAUUG
rnacentral:lncRNA from 1 species